GUUCCCCCUCCCCCUUUCCAGGCUGUCACAUGCGGCCAGGCAGCGCCGGGCUUCGACCCAAGCACAGCCGACGGCACUGAGCAGAGAGGGUCUGCACCCAGGGCCUCCAGCAAGACAAGCCCUCCAACAGUAAACUCCAUACACGCCCGUCUGUGGGGAGCUGAAGAAGCUGUGAAUGAAAAGUCAAGCGCAGAUGAAGACCUGAGUGAAUGUGUACUGGAAUUGGCGCUGUCAUGUCAAGAACCACUGCCUCAGACCCAUGGGAAAUUGGCAAGGCCUUCCUCAGAGUGGUCAGGCUCAGAGCCGGUAAAGGCUUCCUCUGAUCUGAGUGCAAACACCGAUAGUGCACAAGUGUGAGUGUUUACAAACGGUCGACCAACCUGUGCCCAACUAUCGGCUCCUGGGUGUUGGAUGAUUAUAGCCCAGAUUGUUCACUUAGAGACCCACCAAGACUAACUAACUCCUCCCCUCUGUGAGGUACCUAAUAAAUACCGCAAAGUUCGCACAU